ACUACUUUUUUUUUGUAGUGUUACUCUCAUUAAUUAUUCUUGAGGCAGUAAUUCAACAAAAUCUUUUACCAGGACCAGACCUACUGUGUCAUGUAAUGAGCCAACAAGAAAUAGAGGGGAUACCCGCAGAGCCAGAGUAGUUUGGUCUUGAAUCUGUAUUCUAAUGUUGUAAAUUGUCCUUGGGUCAGAGGAUACAGCAGUCCUCCCCUUCAUUGAGUUAAAAUGGAUGUAUGUUAUUAGAAGAAAAUCAGCAAAGCAGAUAACCAACAUUACAUUUUUUUUUUUUAGUACUUACUAUUAUUAAGGCCACAGAACCCUGGAUGCAUUAAGUUAAUCAGCUUGUCCUGCACUGACAGAUUUCUUCAUAUCAUCUUUGAAAUGCGAUUCCUCAUUUCUGCUCCAAGAAGUCCAUUACAAAUGUCUCCUACAGCUUUCUGCCAUCUCAUCUCUUUUGUAAAAGGAACAGCACUUGAGGACCACUGCUGAUGGCAGGUAUGACAAUGUGCAAGGAGGGGAUGUGUUAUGUGCCCAGAGAGCAGGACCUAAUAUGACGUUGAUGGCCUUGGAGCAGUUUUUCUGAAGAUUGGACUCCUACAGAACCACAUAUUUGUGUAUGUACCUGCCUACCUACAUAGAACAAUGAUACCAUUCUCAUGAAAAUGCCACUGGACACUGCGGUGAGAUGCAUCUUCCCAAGAUCUAUAGAUGUGCACGUAGGAGACAGCAUCGUGCUGCCAGUCUGUUGUACAAGGAACACGUAGGAGCGCUUGCUUCAGCUCCAACUGGAUUAGGACCACUCAAAAGCAUGGGAAAGGGAGGAUCCUUGUGCUUUAAGUUUUUCCCAGGCAGGAGAAGUGUUGAAUAUGCUUCAUUUUUUCCUCUCUCGCUCUUUUGGGAAAUGCAUUCUGCCUGACUUAAUUUGUUUCUUCUACUAUCUUCUUCCUAAAUAUUCUUUGCCUGAUACUGAGACCGAGGCUGCUGAAAGAAGAUAGAAGGUAGGGAAAGUAUUUUAUUUUUAUCUAACAUGUCAGAGAAAAGAUGGUGACAUUUUGGAAACGUCAAACUCUAAUGAGUAUGAUUGUUCUGUAAAUAAAAGGUAAACACACAUUCUCCCACCACUGAUUGUAAACAAAUUUUUAGACGUCACAGGAAUAAAGAAGGUGACUAGUUGUCUUCAUUUAAUUUCCUACUGCCAAAUUACAAUUUCAUGUUUUGAUCAGUAUAGUGGGGGCACAGAUAUUAACUCCAUCCAGGCAAAUGGACAGGGCUCUCAUAAAAUCACUGGCACACAGGGUAAUCUUUGUGAGCUUCUGAAACUUACCCAAAGGACUUAUCCAAAUGUUUCUGUGUGUCACACACAGUAAAAGUUUGAGUUCUAUUGAAUAGAAUUUAAUCUGAAAAGAUUUGUAUUAUAUUUAUAUUAUAGAAACAGUCCUAAAUGUAGCAGGAAAAAAAUGGUUGAAAUUCUGAAAGUAUAUAAAGAAACGAAGAAAUUAACUAUGAAUUGCAAAUAGGAAGGAAGGUAACAGUAAAAAUUAAAAAUACAUUAAAAGAAACCUGGAAUAAAUAGUAGAAGAUGAAAUGAUGGCUACAUUCCAUGGUAAAAAUAAGGUUAAAUGACACAUUGCAGUGACAAGAAAAUGUGUGGAUGUAAGUUGGGCAUAAUUUGCUGUAACUUUUAUAAAACUGCAUCCUUGUGUUCUCAGUGAGGAUCUAGUUAUUUUUUUUUUACUUACGUUUAUCUAACAAGAAUAACCGCAAGUAUUUUCAAAUUAAACAAUUUUAAACUUUUAAAAAGCUACUUAGAAUGUAUUGUUUCAAUAUCCUGCAAUGUUUGUACUCUAUAAAAUGACAUACUGUAGGUUGUUAGGAGAUAAUAAUCUGCAAAAUGCAAUAAUCAGUGUCCAGCCAGAAACUAUUUAAGUGUUUCACUAGUGAAAACAAAGAGCAGUGGGUUACUGGGAACUAGACUUCAGGGAAAUACCUUAAUGACAGAAACAAUGAUAUUACCGACUAGUAUGUAAUAAUCUCCUUACCCAAUGACAGCCUGAGUCUCAAAGGUCUCAAAACUGUAACAUUAGAAUAAUUUGAGUGUUCCUUCAAAUAAAAGAACUUUUUAAAGACUAUCUGG